GACCAGAUGAGCAUCAGUGGUCCGGUGUGCGGACUUCAAACCCGUAGCUGAAGAAAAUUAGAGUGGUUCGAUUCCAUCUUCUGGGCG